rnacentral:rRNA from 1 species
GUAGGGAAAAUUGGGCAAUGGGUGCAAGCCUGACCCAGCCAUCCCGCGUGCCGGAUGAAGGCCCUCUGGGUCGUAAACGGCUUUUGACGGUGAAGAAUCGACAGGAUGCGUCCUGUUUUGACGGUAGCCGUUGAAUAAGCACCGGCUAACUCCGUGCCAGCAGCCGCGGUAAUACGGAGGGUGCGAGCGUUGUCCGGAUUUAUUGGGUUUAAAGGGUGCGUAGGCUGGAAGGUCAGUCAGCGGUGAAAAGCUGUCGCUUAACGAUAGUCUUGCCGCAGAUACUUCCUUUCUUGGAUGAGGAGGAGGCCACUGGAACGGAUGGUGUAGCGGUGAAAUGCAUAGAUAUCAUCCAGAACACCGAUUGCGAAGGCAGGUGGCUGUACCUUAAUCGACGCUGAUGCACGAAAGCAUGGGGAGCAAACAGGAUUAGAAACCCCGGUAGUCC